CAUCAGAGGCUGAGGCCAGCUGUGUCCCUUGAAUGAGGUUCAGCUCCAGCCAUUGAAAGAGAAACUCAGCAUCAGCUGCAUGCCAAGUUCUCUUCUCUCCCCCCCUUUCCUGCUCAGCUUCCAUCAUCUUCUUUGCACCCGCAAUUAACAGAGGAAAAGCUAUUUGGCAACGGGACAGAGUUUUGUGAACAGUUGGAACACCGUAUAUGAGAGCUGCCAGUCAUGCAUCAAGAAGUGCUCCAGCCUGCAACUCCAUCCUUCGAGGUUGCUUGUGGCUUCUGGCCAUGUGCUCCAGUCUGCUGCUCGACGGAUUACAAACAGAUGUCUCAAGUUUCCAGUCCUCAAAAUGAAACUGCUGGUGUAAAAGGCUGCCCUAGAAUUUCCAGUCACUACCCAGGAAAGUCUGGAGUGUAAUACAGCACUCAAAACGUUAUUUGGUUGGUCCUUUUCCAGAGAAAUAUGGCUGUCUCUCACAGACUCAUCUGUGCGGCAAGCCUGGGCGCCCCAACCUCCUAGUCUGCUUCAUUAUUCUCAGAUACCUGCUGUCAGAUCUACCCGUUCAGCCCAGAUUACGGACCCAAUGACACAUGCAAGCAAGGCCUUUUCCCCCCAUUGUGACGUCAGUGUUGUGUUUUUAUACCCUUCUGACUGCUGACUCAAAAGAGGAGCAAUGCAGUGAAUCAGAUGCUUUGCAGACAGAACAACUGCAAAGGGGGGUUAGUUUCAGGGGGGAAAUCAGAAUAAACAGACAUCUGAGUGACAGGGAAGUCGGAGGGACCAGAGUAAACACAAGCCUGGGUCAGGCAAAUGCCACAAUCUGCUCCUUGUUGAAACAGCCUGAAAAUCAAGAAUGAUGCAAUGUUGAUUAAAUGUCCCUGGUAUUUACUCUUUCAGAUGUACUCUGUGUUUGUAA